rnacentral:lncRNA from 1 species
GUGGGUUUGUGCAGUUCUGUUAUGAGCCCAUCAAGCAGAUCAUUGCCACUUGCAUGAAUGACCAGAAGGAUAAGUUGUGGCCUAUGUUGCAGAAGCUUGGUGUGCAGAUGAAGUCUGAUGAGAAGGAGCUCAUGGGUAAGCCUUUGAUGAAGCGUGUCAUGCAGACUUGGCUCCCUGCAAGUACUGCGUUGCUUGAGAUGAUGAUCUUUCACCUUCCGUCGCCCCACACUGCACAGAGGUACCGUGUUGAGAAUCUCUAUGAAGGUCCUCUUGAUGAUCAGUACGCCACUGCCAUCAGAAACUGUGAUCCUAAUGGCCCUCUCAUGCUCUAUGUUUCUAAGAUGAUUCCUGCCUCAGACAAGGGGAGAUUCUUUGCUUUUGGUCGUGUCUUCUCUGGAAAGGUGUCCACCGGUAUGAAGGU